UACGGAAGGCAGGCAGUGGGGAAUAUUGCACAAUGGGCGAAAGCCUGAUGCAGCUAUGCCGCGUGUAUGAAGAAGGCCUUAGGGUUGUAAAGUACUUUCAUCGGGGAGGAAAAAACAAAACUAAUAAUUUUAUUUCUUGACGUUACCCGAAAAAGAAGCACCGGCUAACUCCGUGCCAGCAGCCGCGGUAAUACGGAGGGUGCUAGCGUUAAUCAGAAUUACUGGGCGUAAAGAGCACGUAGGUGGUUUUUUUAAGUCAGAUGUGAAAUCCCCUGGGCUUAACCUAGGAACUGCAUUUUGAAACUGAAAUACUAGAGUAUCGUAGAGGGAGGUAGAAUUCUAGGUGUAGCGGUGAAAUGCGUAGAUAUCUGGAGGAAUACCUGUGGCGAAAGCGGCCUCCUAAACGAAUACUGACACUGAGGUGCGAAAGCGUGGGGAGCAAACAGGGAUUAGAUACC
rnacentral:rRNA from 1 species